CCCGUUGGGUGUAAAGCCUUUCGGCAGGACGAAACCCGAGCAAUCGGGCCGACGGUACCUGAAGAAGAAGCCCCGGCUAACUCCGUGC
rnacentral:rRNA from 1 species